GACGAACGCUGGCGGCGUGCUUAACACAUGCAAGUCGAACGGAAAGGCCCUGCUUUUGUGGGGUGCUCGAGUGGCGAACGGGUGAGUAACACGUGAGUAACCUGCUCUUGACUUUGGUAUAACUUCAGGAAACUGGGGCUAAUACUGGAUAGGAGCUCCUGCUGCAUGGUGGGGGUUGGAAAGUUUGGGCGGUUGGGGAUGGACUCGCGGCUUAUCAGCUUGUUGGUGGGGUAGUGGCUUACCAAGGCUUUGACGGGUAGCCGGCCUGAGAGGGUGACCGGCGACAUUGGGACUGAGAUACGGCGCAGACGCAGACGGGGGGAAGCAGUGAGGAAUGUUGCACAGUGGGCGGGAGCCUGAGGCAGGAACGCCGGGUGCGGGAUGACGGCCUUCGGGUUGUAGACGACUUGGGCCUGUGAGGAGGCGUGGGUGACGGUAAUGGGUAAAGAAGCGCCGGCUAACUACGUG
rnacentral:rRNA from 1 species